rnacentral:lncRNA from 1 species
AAAAAAAAAAAAAUUGCCAACAAGCACUAAUUAAGGAAUGGCAGUGCUUGUAGCCACUUGUCCAGACUUGCUGGCCAAAAGGGACAAUGUGAUUAAGCUGAGAAACUGGUCCUGAGGUUAACUGAGACUAACCAUUUAAACCUCACCUUCGUGAAAAAUGUUUUAUGACCAUCAUAUCAUUUUCUCGUAAGGAAAAGCCAAUGUCAACAUUAGAUGACUUCCUAAAAGUAUUUUCUCAAACUUUUUUUUCUGCGUGUGAAAAUUACACUGUAGGAAAAAACGUGGGGUCGUAUAACUUUAACAGCUCUUUUAUUUAUUUUUUCUUAAAAUAUAUUUUUAUUUUUUUCUGACUAUUUAUUCUAGAAAACUAGAAAUUACAGAAAAAUAUUUGGAGGAAAUUAAAAUUAAAACUAUCCAUAAUUUUACCAUCUCAAGACAAAUACUGUUGGUGUUUUGUAUUUUCUUCUUUGUAAAUGCUUUUGUUUUUAAAGUUAAGAACGUUUUUAUGUAUCUAAUUUUGUGUCCUGUGAACACAAAAACCUGAUGCCAGUAAAACAACAACUUUUUUUUUUUUUUGGCUGCACCUGUGGCAUGUGGAAGUUCCCCGGGCCAGGGAUCAAACCCGUGCCACAGCAGUGACAAUAUCAGAUCCUUAACUCAGUGUGAAUUCCUUAAAAGACUUUUUUAUAAAUAGAAAUUUUUAAGAUGUGCCAUUGCCUCCAGAUUUAACCAACUGCCUAUUGUAAGCCAUUUUUGGUUUUCUGCAAAUUUGUUAUUUUGUCUACCCCACACACACACACACAUAAACGUCUAGCAGACUACAUAUAGUAGAAAAAUUCUAUAAUGAAAUUUUUAUCUCAAACUGAUAGGCCCCAGACGUUCCAACCCCACGGCUGCUGGGCCAAGACAAUGUGGCAUUCUUAUAAAGAUGUGAAGGAAAAUAGGAGAAAAGGACUUGUAGUUUCCCUUGAGACCAGGGCAGACCUUGGCUGUGCAACAGAAAUCCCCAGUGAGCUUUCCAAAACGCCAGUGCCCAGGCCAUACCUGAGACCAAUUAUGUCAGAGUUUCCAUGGGUUGAAAUCAGAAUGACCCUGGGUUUUUUUUGUUGUUGUUUUGUUUUUUGCUUUUUUAGGGCUGCACCCACGGCAUAUGGAGGUCCCCAGGCUAGGGGUCCAACUGGAGCUACAGCUGCCGGCCUAUGCCACAGCUCAUGGCAACACCAGAUCUUUAACCCACAGAGCAAGGCCAAGGAUCGAACUGACAACCUCAUGGUUCGUAGUCAGGUUCAUUUCCGCUGCACCACGAUAGGAACUCCCAGAAUGACACUUUUUCAAGUGCCCUCAUGUCCUCCCGAUGUGCACCUAGGCUGGAAAAUCACUAUUCUGGGUUCGGCCUUUCACUCAGCUCCCUCCUUGAGCCCUACUGUGUACCAGGCAUGGUCCGAGGCACUGUCUAUCCCCUUAAUUUGUUGAUAGAGAUAGUAUAUCCUCCAUUUUACAUGGACUGGCUUACGCUUUGAAAGGGAGCCAAUUUUAUAAGCCCUCCUUGUAUGCUUUCUACUGUCAGGGCACAGGAAGAAUAGGAAAACCAGAAUUGCAUAUUCUUGCUUAAGCUAGCCUCUUAAUAUCUGAAGAGAAUCCUUUCGUUCAAUUAAAAAAAAAAAAAAAGUUGGCACUAAAGCCAUUCCAUAGAUAAACUCUGUGGCAUUUAAUGUAUGCACUUCAAUUUACAUUUGAUGAGCUAAAAAUUAUGAAUGUUGGGGAGAUCAAAGCAUUCUCUCUCCACCUUUAUCCACCCAACUCCUUAUUUCUCACUUUCUGUGAAAAAAAAAUGGGAGAAAAAAAAGCCAAGUCUUGGAGUUCCCAUCAUGGCUCUAGUGGUUAAUGAAUCCGACUAGUAACCAUGAGGUUUCAAGUUCGAUCCCUGGCCUCGCUCAGUGGGUUAAGGAUCCAGCGUUGCUGUGAGCUGUGGUGUAGGUCGCAGAUGCAAUUAGGAUCCCGCAUUGCUGUGGCUGUGGUGUAGGCUGACAGCUACAGCUCCAAUUAGACCCCUAGCUUGGGAACCUCUGUA